ACGGGAGGCAGCAGUGGGGAAUCUUGGUCAAUGGGGGCAACCCUGAACCAGCGACGCCGCGUGAGUGAAGAAGUAUUUCGGUAUGUAAAGCUCUAUCAGCAGGGAAGAUAAUGACAGUACCUGACUAAGAAGCCCCGGCUAACUACGUGCCAGCAGCCGCGGUAAUACGUAGGGGGCAAGCGUUAUCCGGAUUUACUGGGUGUAAAGGGAGCGUAGACGGCUUAGCAAGUCUGAUGUGAAAGGCAGGGGCUCAACUCCUGGACUGCAUUGGAAACUGUUAAGCUGGAGUGCCGGAGAGGUAAGCGGAAUUCCUAGUGUAGCGGUGAAAUGCGUAGAUAUUAGGAGGAACACCAGUGGCGAAGGCGGCUUACUGGACGGUAACUGACGUUGAGGCUCGAAAGCGUGGGGAGCAAACAGGAUUAGAUACCCUGGUA
rnacentral:rRNA from 1 species